rnacentral:rRNA from 1 species
CAGGUGCGGGAAGAAGGCCUUCGGGUUGUAUACCGCUUUUGUCAGGAAGAAAUCCUUUGGGCUAAUACCCUGAGGGGAUGACGGUACCUGAAGAAUAAGCACCGGCUAACUACGUGCCAGCAGCCGCGGUAAUACGUAGGGUGCGAGCGUUAAUCGGAAUUACUGGGCGUAAAGCGUGCGCAGGCGGUCAUACAAGACAGAUGUGAAAUCCCCGGGCUUAACCUGGGAACUGCAUUUGUGACUGUAUGGCUGGAGUACGGUAGAGGGGAGUGGAAUUCCGCGUGUAGCAGUGAAAUGCGUAGAUAUGCGGAGGAACACCGAUGGCGAAGGCAGCUCCCUGGACCUGUACUGACGCUCAUGCACGAAAGCGUGGGGAGCAAACAGGAUUAGAUACCCUGGUAGUCCACGCCCUAAACGAUGUCAACUGGUCGUCGGGAGGGUUUCUUCUCAGUCACGAAGCUAACGCGUGAAGUAGACCGCCUGGGGAGUACGGCCGCCAGGUUGAAACUCAACGGACUCGACGGGGACCCGCACAAGCG